rnacentral:rRNA from 1 species
AUGGCGCUCGUCUCCGCGCCCGCGCCCGCCGCGGUGUGGACGGCUGUGUCGCCGCCGGCCGAGGCGAACGGGAGCUCCGACAGGAAGAAGAAGAGGAAAGCGGAGGACGGGGAAGGGUGCAGGACGUGCAGCUGCAAGAAGUCCAGGUGCCUGAAGCUUUAUUGUGUGUGUUUUGCUUCUGGGUCACAAUGUUCUGAAUUAUGUGGCUGUGACCCAUGUUAUAACAAGCCUAUUCAUGGUGUUCAACAGAAUACACCACCAGGCUUGCCUUUGCAAGUUGUUCGACCAGCAGAGGCUGGUCAAAAUUCAACGGAAUUUGCAAGAUACCAAAUGGACUUUUUUAGAAGAAAAUGCACUUGCAAAAAGUCAGGCUGCCUUAAGAAAUACUGUGACUGCUACCAGGGAGGGGCAGGAUGCUCCAUCAACUGUAAAUGCGAUGAUUGUAAAAACCCAUAUGGGAAAAAAGUUGGUGUCAUUUUGGAUGGUAAAAGUAUUCUUGCCACACCCACACCCGGACCCACUCCGAUUGAAAGGAAUGGAACGGAAGUUAUCUCAAGUGAUGAUGACGACGACGAUGAAGAUGAUUAUUACAUGAAUCGUCCACUGUCCCCUAUCCCCCCGUCUCCAGUAUCCCGAGAGUCUUCAUUCCAACAGGAGACUCUAGUGGGCGUUGAAGUUCACACUGUGAAUGGGCACCUGUACCCGAAACCGCUGACCCAGGUGCGUCCAGAGACAUGGCAGCUCUCGAGGAGGCCUGCCGAGGAAGCACGGGGAGAACAAUGGCGCUACAUGAGGAGGCCCAGCGAGGACGGAACAUCCGAUGCUAUGGAAGGACACGCAGACCCCAAGUUUCAUCAUCAGAGAGACAACAACAACAGUAAACAGCGAGAGAGCCCUGCUGACAACAGGUUCAGCAUCCCGCGGUGCAUUGAGGUGAUGAACGGCAUGGCGGACCUCUCGCCGGUGGACAAGUCGCUCGCCCCGGACGUCUUCUUGGAUCCAAGCAACCGGGAGAUUUUCCUGUCGCUGAGUGUAGAUAUCCGGACCAUGUGGCUGAAGCGUAAGAUGAGGAGCCUUGUGUAG